rnacentral:snRNA from 1 species
GUGCUUGCUUCAGCAGCACAUAUACUAAAACUGGAAUUAUGCAGAGAAGAUUAUCAUGGCCCCUGCACAAGGAUGACAUGCAAAUUAGUGAAGCAUUUCAUAUUUUU